rnacentral:lncRNA from 1 species
UUUUUUGUAUUAGCUUCGCAUGCCGAUAACUCUCUUAUUUAUCUUGGAAGAGCAAAAAUGAAUGUUUCAGUUUCUUUGAGAUUCACGUCUUUAAUGCCCCAUAACUCAAACGUCUUUUCUGAGGUACCUCAUCAUAACCCUUGGGAACUAAAACACUUGAGUAUUGUGUGUGAUUGAUUUAAACUUUUGAUAGAGUAUACUUUCUUUUGCAAGCUAGCAUAUGAUUCUUGUCGAGUCAGC